rnacentral:rRNA from 1 species
GUGGGGAAUCUUAGACAAUGGGCGCAAGCCUGAUCUAGCCAUGCCGCGUGAGCGAUGAAGGCCUUAGGGUUGUAAAGCUCUUUCAGGGGGGAAGAUAAUGACGGUACCCACAGAAGAAGCCCCGGCUAACUUCGUGCCAGCAGCCGCGGUAAUACGAAGGGGGCUAGCGUUGUUCGGAUUUACUGGGCGUAAAGCGCACGUAGGCGGAUCGUUAAGUCGGGGGUGAAAUCCUGGAGCUCAACUCCAGAACUGCCUUCGAUACUGGCGAUCUUGAGUCCGGAAGAGGUGAGUGGAACUCCUAGUGUAGAGGUGGAAUUCGUAGAUAUUAGGAAGAACACCAGUGGCGAAGGCGGCUCACUGGUCCGGUACUGACGCUGAGGUGCGAAAGCGUGGGGAGCAAACAGGAUUAGAAACCCUUGUAGUCC